UACGAAGGGGGCAAGCGUUGUUCGGAAUUAUUGGGCGUAAAGGGAGCGUAGGCGGUUCGGCAAGUCUUUAGUGAAAUCUCUGGGCUCAACUCAGAGUCUGCUGGAGAAACUGCCGGGCUGGAGUAUGGGAGAGGUGAGUGGAAUUCCCGGUGUAGCGGUGAAAUGCGUAGAUAUUGGGAAGAACACCAGUGGCGAAGGCGGCUCACUGGACCGUAACUGACGCUCAUGCACGACAGCGUGGGGAUCAAACAGG
rnacentral:rRNA from 1 species